GCUUGCUCUUAUGAAGUUAGCGGCGGACGGGUGAGUAACACGUGGGUAACCUGCCCAUAAGACUGGGAUAACUCCGGGAAACCGGGGCUAAUACCGGAUAACAUUUUGCACCGCAUGGUGCGAAAUUCAAAGGCGGCUUCGGCUGUCACUUAUGGAUGGACCCGCGUCGCAUUAGCUAGUUGGUGAGGUAACGGCUCACCAAGGCAACGAUGCGUAGCCGACCUGAGAGGGUGAUCGGCCACACUGGGACUGAGACACGGCCCAGACUCCUACGGGAGGCAGCAGUAGGGAAUCUUCCGCAAUGGACGAAAGUCUGACGGAGCAACGCCGCGUGAGUGAUGAAGGCUUUCGGGUCGUAAAACUCUGUUGUUAGGGAAGAACAAGUGCUAGUUGAAUAAGCUGGCACCUUGACGGUACCUAACCAGAAAGCCACGGCUAACUACGUGCCAGCAGCCGCGGUAAUACGUAGGUGGCAAGCGUUAUCCGGAAUUAUUGGGCGUAAAGCGCGCGCAGGUGGUUUCUUAAGUCUGAUGUGAAAGCCCACGGCUCAACCGUGGAGGGUCAUUGGAAACUGGGAGACUUGAGUGCAGAAGAGGAAAGUGGAAUUCCAUGUGUAGCGGUGAAAUGCGUAGAGAUAUGGAGGAACACCAGUGGCG
rnacentral:rRNA from 1 species